CUUGAAACAGUGGUUCGCAGAUUUUUUUUCAGUGACUCUUUUACUAACAAAAUGCCGCAUAUCCCCUACCCUUUUUCCUGGUAAUAAGUGCUUUUCUUUUCGUUUCUUUCUUUCUUUCUUUCUUUUUUUUUUUUUUUUUUUGAGACAGGCUCUCACUCUGUCACCCAGGUUGGAGUGCAGUGGUGCCAUCAUGGCUCACUGCAACCUCAGACUGCCAGGCUCGCAUGAUCCUCCCACCUCACUCUCCUGAAUAGCUGGGACUGCAGGUGCAUGACAUCAAGUCCAGGUAAUUUUUUAAUUUUUAUUUUUAGUAGAGACGAGGUCUCGCUAUGUUGCAGAGGCUGAUCUUGAAACCCUAGGCUCAAGUGAUCCUCCAGCCUCCCAAAGUGUUGGAAUUACAGGUCUGAGCCACCAUGCCUGGCAAUAAAUACCUUUCUGAAGGCUACUUCUGAAGUGGUUCGUAAGCCAAUCCCUUACUAACUUAAUACCUCCCAAAUUUAACGGCAGUUUAAUGCUCCAAGAAUACAAACAUGAAGGCUCUUAGGAAUAAGCCAAUAAGUUUAAUUGUGAUAGGAUAGUGCUUGAAUGUAAGAAAAUAGGGAAAUACAAGCCUUUAAUGCCUUUUUGUCUAAGAAGGGAAGACUCAUAUAGAAAUAGUCAUGCUUUAAAAAUGUUAAUGAUGCUAUUGUGGCGGUAAUCUAGGACUAUGGGUCCUGAUAGAAAUUCUCGAUGGUUGGAAAAGGGGAUAAAAUAUUCGAAACCACCAAGCAUUCCUCCCUGCAACUCCUCCACAAAUGGUGGGAAUGUGUAUUUGUCUUGGGGUUUACCACCUUCCUUUGUUUAGAGAGGACUCAUAUAUCAUGAGCAAAGUAUCUGUA
rnacentral:lncRNA from 10 species